GAAGCUCUGGCAGAACUGAGAGGUAAGCCCUGAGUCGCCGGUGUUCUCCCACUUCAGGAAAGCCGAGCGCCAUCAGCUAAUGGCCAUGAAUAUUUCAGCUGUGUCAUUAUUAUUUCACAGAGGACAGCCUCCUCCCUGCUGGCUUCUGAGGCACUUUGCAGACCAUUCCCGCUGAGCUGGAGGCAGAGGAAAGAGUUGUGCAGCACCCAGUCCAAAACCCUGCUCCAGCCAGAAGCUUCCGAUCUGCAGGAUGGUCUGUGAGCACCACAGAGGCAGCUGGGAGAGCCUUCAAACCUAUGCUGGAGCUUUCGUAGCUGCUUGUGCUGUGAACCAAAGCCUGCAGCCCCACGGACAGGUGAAGCUUUUUAAGUACAAAGUAGGUUAGAAAUUCAAGUGGAGGGUGCACACAUGGCACCAGCAGGAGAUGGGCAAUGAGCCAUGGGCUUCCUGCUGCCUUGAGGCUUAUAAUCCGCAGUCAGUUCUUGAAAUCUCCAUCGCUACACCACUGCCCAUCCAUGUGCCCCAUUACCCUGUGUGCAGCUGUGUUCCUUCCAACCACGUGUGGCUGUGCAUGCCCCUAAGGACUGCAUCUCCUGCCACUUUCUUCAAGAGAGCAGUGGGAAGUCAAUCCCCGGUUUAAUAAAGAUGG
rnacentral:lncRNA from 7 species